rnacentral:rRNA from 1 species
GAUGAACGCUGGCGGCGUGCCUAAUACAUGCAAGUCGAGCGAACGGACGAGAAGCUUGCUUCUCUGAUGUUAGCGGCGGACGGGUGAGUAACACGUGGAUAACCUACCUAUAAGACUGGGAUAACUUCGGGAAACCGUAGCUAAUACCGGAUAAUAUUUUGAACCGCAUGGUUCAAAAGUGAAAGACGGUCUUGCUGUCACUUAUAGAUGGAUCCGCGCUGCAUUAGCUAGUUGGUAAGGUAACGGCUUACCAAGGCAACGAUGCAUAGCCGACCUGAGAGGGUGAUCGGCCACACUGGAACGGAGACACGGUCCAGACUCCUACGGGAGGCAGCAGUAGGGAAUCUUCCGCAAUGGGCGAAAGCCUGACGGAGCAACGACGCGUGAGUGAUGAAGGUCUUCGGAUCGUAAAACUCUGUUAUUAGGGAAGAACAUAUGUGUAAGUAACUGUGCACAUCUUGACGGUACCUAAUCAGAAAGCCACGGCUAACUACGUG